AUGUAGGUCGCCAAGACCAACCCGGCUGUAUCUUCCCUGCCCAACGGCGACUGCGGGCCGCGCCAGGAUGCCGCAGGGAGGGAACCGGGUCACUGUGGUGCUGGGCGCGCAAUGGGGCGACGAAGGCAAGGGGAAGGUGGUGGAUCUGCUGGCUCAGGACGCCGACAUCGUGUGCCGCUGCCAGGGAGGAAAUAAUGCUGGUCAUACAGUUGUUGUAGAUUCUGUGGAAUAUGAUUUUCAUCUUCUGCCCAGUGGAAUAAUUAACCCGAAUGUCACUGCAUUCAUUGGAAAUGGUGUGGUAAUUCACCUACCUGGGUUGUUUGAAGAAGCAGAAAAAAACGUUCAAAAAGGAAAAGGUCUAGAAGGCUGGGAAAAAAGGCUCAUUAUAUCUGACAGAGCUCACACUGUAUUUGAUUUUCAUCAAGCAGCUGAUGGUAUCCAGGAACAACAGAGACAAGAACAGGCAGAAAAAAACUUGGGUACCACAAAAAGGGGCAUUGGCCCAGUUUACUCUUCCAAAGCUGCUCGGAGUGGACUUCGGAUGUGUGAUCUUGUUUCUGACUUUGAUGGCUUCUCUGAGAGGUUCAAAGUUCUAGCUAAUCAAUACAAAUCUAUAUACCCUACUUUGGAAAUAGACAUUGAAGGUGAAUUACAAAAACUCAAGGGUUAUAUGGAAAGGAUUAAACCAAUGGUGAAAGAUGGAGUUUACUUCCUGUAUGAGGCUCUCCAUGGACCAGCAAAGAAAAUCUUGGUAGAAGGAGCAAAUGCAGCUUUAUUGGAUAUUGAUUUUGGGACUUACCCUUUUGUAACCUCCUCGAACUGUACUGUUGGAGGUGUCUGCAUAGGUCUGGGCAUGCCCCCUCAAAACGUUGGAGAAGUGUACGGAGUUGUGAAAGCGUACACCACUGGGGUUGGCAUCGGUGCC